UGCACUCCAGUCUGGGCAACAAGAGCAAAACUCUGUCUCUAAAAAUAAAAAUGAAAAUAGCAAAAGGGAGGCUGAAUACCACACCCCUAUCCCACAGAAACUUACGUUAACAGUAUGGCGUGAUGGGGGGAUAGCUCGGUGUUUUUUGACUGCAGAUCAAGAGGUCCCCAGUUCAAAUUCGGGUGCCCCCUCUGCUCUUUGGAGUUCUCGCGUUUUGUUAGUCUCCGGAGGUCCCCUAAAGAGUUCCCGCACAGAUGGAAAGAGAGGGAGUCGCAGGCCCUGCCACCCUCUUUUCCUUUGCAGGCGAGUGAAAAUGGAGUCCUGGCCCGUACCAGUGGCUCAGCCUGUGUGUAUAUCCAAGGGUGGAAUGCAGUGCAGUGAGAGCGAGGAGCUCGGGGCUGACCCUUGGAACACGGUGCGGGUGGCCCAACCUUGCAAUGGCCGGGCGGAGGCGGCGCACCCCCAGGUCGGCCUGGCCAGUGGCCGCGACGGCUCUUCCAUCGCUGGAGGGAGGCCGAGUUUCUAAGGGCUGGGCUGGGAAGACAGGCCCGGAGAAGCCGCGUGAGCACGUGGGAGGGAGAAAGAAGCUCCGAGACGUGGCAAGGGGGCUCCUGCAGGGCAGGAGAGUGGGACGCCCCGAAGUGAGAGAUUUCGAGACUCCUUCCACACCCCAGGAAUACAUUUUCUUGCACCGUCAGUGGGAAUCUUCAGCUCAGAGCUUUAGGAAACAAUCCCUGAUUCCAAUGGCAGAUGAGCAGCGAGGGACUGCAAGGAACUGGGGAUUCAACAGCAAUAGCUCUCAAAAUGUGGCCCUGGGACCAGCAGCAUCACCUGGGUACGCUCGGUCCUCAUCCCCGACCUAGGGAAUUAGAAACUUGAGGGUGGAGUCCAGAAAUCUGUUUUCAUAUACCCUUCCUAUCGCUUGAGUCCAGGAGUUGGAAGCUGCAGUGAGCUAUGAUCGCGUCACUGCACUCCAGCCUAGGCAACGUUCGAGAACCUGUCUCAAAAAACAAACAAAAUCACACACACACACACACACACACCCCUCCAGGUGAUUACGAUCUCAAGUUCUAGAGGCUUACAUUAAAAUUCACACGUUUGCUUCUA